rnacentral:rRNA from 1 species
CAGUAAGGAAUAUUGGUCAAUGGGCGGAAGCCUGAACCAGCCAUGCCGCGUGCAGGAUGACUGCCCUAUGGGUUGUAAACUGCUUUUGUCCAGGAAUAAACCUAAAUACGUGUAUUUAGCUGAAUGUACUGGAAGAAUAAGGAUCGGCUAACUCCGUGCCAGCAGCCGCGGUAAUACGGAGGAUCCGAGCGUUAUCCGGAUUUAUUGGGUUUAAAGGGUGCGUAGGCGGCCUAUUAAGUCAGGGGUGAAAUACGGUGGCUCAACCAUCGCAGUGCCUUUGAUACUGAUGGGCUUGAAUCCAUUUGAAGUGGGCGGAAUAAGACAAGUAGCGGUGAAAUGCAUAGAUAUGUCUUAGAACUCCGAUUGCGAAGGCAGCUCACUAAGCUGGUAUUGACGCUGAUGCACGAAAGCGUGGGGAUCGAACAGGAUUAGA